CACGUAGGGUGCGAGCGUUGUCCGGAAUUAUUGGGCGUAAAGAGCUCGUAGGCGGUGUGUCGCGUCGGCCGUGAAAACCUGCAGCUUAACUGUGGGCUUGCGGUCGAUACGGGCAUCACUGGAGUUCGGCAGGGGAGACUGGAAUUCCUGGUGUAGCGGUGAAAUGCGCAGAUAUCAGGAGGAACACCGGUGGCGAAGGCGGGUCUCUGGACAACACCUGACGCUGAGGCACGAAAGCCAGGGGAGCAAACGGG
rnacentral:rRNA from 1 species